rnacentral:lncRNA from 11 species
ACCCAAACAAUUGAUUCAUUUAUUCUGUGCUGCCACUUUUUCAGAAACCAUCACAAAUUUCCUAGGGACACGAGAAUACGUUUUGAUGGAUGCUCAGCUCCACAUCAGAUCCAAAGUGGAAGACGUUGUCUUGCUGUGUUGGGCCCUGCCUUGAGCCACAAGAAGAGGCGGGUAAGAAAUUAAUAAUAAUAAUAAUAAUAAUAAUAAUAAUAAUAAUA